rnacentral:miRNA from 14 species
GAAAUGCCUCCAUGAGAUCUAGCUGUAAGGCAUUUUCUCCAUUAGUGAUUAAGGGGAAGGGCCCAUUGUGGGUGGUACCAUCCCUGGGCUGGUAGUCCUG